AGUUUGAUCCUGGCUCAGAACGAACGCUGGCGGCAUGCCUAACACAUGCAAGUCGAACGAAGUCUUCGGACUUAGUGGCGCACGGGUGCGUAACGCGUGGGAAUCUGCCCUUGGGUGCGGAAUAACUUCUCGAAAGGGAUGCUAAUACCGCAUAAUGUCGUAAGACCAAAGAUUUAUCGCCCAAGGAUGAGCCCGCGUAAGAUUAGCUAGUUGGUGGGGUAAAAGCCUACCAAGGCGACGAUCUUUAGCUGGUCUGAGAGGAUGAUCAGCCACACUGGGACUGAGACACGGCCCAGACUCCUACGGGAGGCAGCAGUGGGGAAUAUUGGACAAUGGGCGAAAGCCUGAUCCAGCAAUGCCGCGUGAGUGAUGAAGGCCCUAGGGUUGUAAAGCUCUUUUACCAGGGAUGAUAAUGACAGUACCUGGAGAAUAAGCUCCGGCUAACUCCGUG
rnacentral:rRNA from 1 species